rnacentral:lncRNA from 1 species
AACAAGCGAAUUUGCACAAGCGCAUGUGAAGCUUUUGUUUCAGUGCUCAAAUUAGGCAUACAUUGUUAGGGAUUCAGGACUUGUACCUAGGAUUUGAAUCACAAUAAGAAGGAAGAGAAGUCAGUAGCAGCGAAGAGAGUGUCCAGCAAAUGAAAUCAACCAAAUAAUUGAAGGAGAAUCAGUUAUAAACAUAGACUUGAACCAAUAAAAACCAGCAAUCAAAAUUUCCACCAAAAUUUGACCCAAAACUUGAAUAUCACGAGCACUCAACUCAUUUUUGACUCAUGAAUACAUAGGAAUUAUUCUAACAAUGAAAACCUCAAGGACCUUCUGGAAAACUGGAAUUUUUGUAUUUUCAGUAGCUUUCUGAGUUUAUUUUUAAAAUUUUUCUUGGAUUGUUUUGAUUUUCUCUAAGAUCUGGAUUUGAAUUUCAAAAUUUUCCAAAGUUUUGAAUCUUUAAUGCUUCGAGAAACUUAUGGGGAUUUUUUCCAGAUUUUCUCCCUUGCUAAACAAGGCAAUGGGCAUGUUUUAUUGGCAAAACUUGGGGCACCCUUCAAAUUUCUGUUUACACCGAAGUCCCUCUCUUAAUUUCAGAUUUUAUUGGUUUAGUCUCUAUAUUCUUGACUUGUUAGCCAAGUCAUUGCAUUAUAAUCUUAGAGUUAUCACUUUAGUCCUAUUCUAGAAGGAUCUAGGGUGUUCUUGCAUUGUUUUCUAUUUAUGGAACACCUAUACUACCCUUACAAAAGGAAAUUAUGGAGCACACAAUCAAAAGGAAAUUCAAAGCUAUAGCUUGAACAUGCAAUCCUAUUAUUUGAACCAAUGAAGAUUUAAAUUAAUUCUAAUUCAUACUAAAAUUAAACAUUAAUCUAAGUUAAACUAAACAAUAACAGGUAAAGAUUCAGGGAUUAAAACUAAAUUUAAACUAACAAAUUGAUGCUAAUGCAACAGAAAUCAGGAGUGGAAAUUAAUCUAAGAAAAUGAGUAACUCAUGGAAUCAUCAGAAAAUAAAAUGCAACUGAAAUAAAGGGUAACCAAAACCAAAAUUAUUGUUUUAUAUUUGUGGAACACUUAUACUACCCUUACCCCUAUCUUGAAAUUACCAAGCCUACCUCAAACAAACCCAACCCCCUUUUGUCUCAAUUUUACUAUGGUCAGUCAACUUAUACCCAAACAUCCCUUAAGAGAAAUUCAAAUGACAAUUACAAACCAACUCAUUUCACACAAAUGGGCUGAGAUUCAACAAUCAAAAGGAAAUGUUAAAUCACAGCUUUUAUUUGAACUAAUAAAGAUUGAAAUCAAUUCUAAUUCAUACUAAAAUUGAACAUUAGAAUAAGCUAAACUAAAUAAUAACCGGUGAAGAUUCAGGGAAUAAAACUAAAUUUAAGUUAACAAUGAAGCUAAUCAGGAGUAGAAAUUAAACUAAAAAGAAAUGUGCGACUCAUGGAAUCAUCACAAAAUAAGAUGCAACCGAAAUAAAGGGUAAUCAAAUUUAACAAGAUUAAUCAGAGAAAAUGAGUAUUCCAAAAGUUGAGAACCAACCAUUAUUUCUAAUUGAAAUAAAUAGUCAGAACAAAUGUAAAACGAAAUCAUCAACAAAAGAAGAAAAACAAUAGAAAGAAAAUAAACUUACUGGUUUUUCUUCAAUUAAACUUGGUUUAAAUAAAUUCGAGCCUCCAAGCGGAACUCAAACGGACUUUUAAAGGUUGAACUCAAAAUUAGGUCAGGCUGGUUUCAAAGUUGGAGAGGUCUGGGCUUAUUUGAAAAGGCCUGGGUGUGUUUUUGGGUAGAUGAGGUCCAGAGGGGUGUGUGGUGGCGAUUUGGAGGCUGUAGGAGCCUGGUCACCGAUGUACAUGGCAAAGAUGCCUCGCACCAAUGAAUAUUCAAGGAGUUGUGGCUAUGUUCGAGGGUCUCUGAUGAUGGGGUUGGAAAGAGAGGAACGAAAGGAGUGUCAGGUGUAACUUUGGGAGCCGUUGGCCACCGGGCGCUGCCGUGGACGGCGGAGCUGCCGGGAUUUGAACGAAUAUGUGACAAAUUCCAUGGGGUUUUGAGGGGUGAUCUUAGGGGCGUGGGAAGAGGAGAAGACGGGGAUUCCAGGGUGUAAUUUUGGAGGUUAUUGGAGUUAUGCUAUCGCCAGCGGUGAUUUCCGGCUAGCGACGGAAGGUGAUGGUAUUGUGGAUGCACGGUAGCAUUACACCGGCUCAGGGAUGUAUGAUGAGGGUGACUUUUGUCUCUGAAAUUGUGAAUAUGUUCAAACCAUUAUAUUUAAAAUGGGAGAGAAAAUCUGGGUCGUGGGAUUAGAGGCGAUGGAUGGUUGAGAUCAAACAACGUCGUUUUGGGCACCUAGGGUUUUUUGACCGGGCAAAGGGGUUGGGUUUGGGUCUGUUUGAGUGGUUUUUGGCUACUUGGGCUGAAAACUAUGGCCCAAAUCAAGGGUCCUCAAUAAAAGCCCCAAUAUAUGUACAUAUUUUCUAAAAAUUCAAAAAAAAAUCACAAAAUUAAUUCCUAAAAAUUCAAAUAAUAAAAGAAAAAUCCUAAUAGUGAAUUUUAUUGGAACAUGUCAAGCGAGGCAAAAAUUACAUGCUCACAGUUGCCCCUCUUUGCUCGGAGACACGAAGGAUUUACGGGCAAAGAUAAAUAAGCAACUGAGAGAUUUUUGCAUGCUGUGCAUUCCAUGAGAAGCAUUUAAAAAACUGUCUGACCGAACCCCGCUUCAAAGGUUGCCUACAUAUCCUUAGCUAUAAAAGAAUCCGGUCAGUAUAGUUCUGGAGUGUUUGGUAGAUGGGACUACCAGAGCUGUAAUAUCACUGCUGAUGCGGCUGUUACUGCUUGCUGACCUCCUUAUUACACCUCGUGAAAAGAUAAAAAAAUUAGACUAAGCUAUAAGCUACAGAUUACAAAGAAAAUCCUAUCUAUGUCUUCAAUCUCGUUCUUGAUCCUUGUCGCUUUGUUGCCUCGUAUUUCUUCCUGCGAACUCCUUGUGGCCUUGCUGACUGCUUGCCUUUUCUUCCUUCAUGUUUGAUGCCGAAUUGUUGGACUUGAAAUGUAUACCCUUGUUUUUCAGGUGGGUUCCUGAUUAUAAAAUUUGAAACUUGAAGACAUUCCUUGUUCUACGGGUGGGCGCUUGAUAGCCAAGACUUGACUUUUGAAAAAUAUUACCUUGUUCUCUAGGUGGGCUCCUGAUUGCCAAAGACUGAAAUUUUGAAAAAUAUUCCCUUAUUCUACAGGUGGGCGCCUGAUUACCAAAAAUUGGAACUUUUGAAAAAUAUUCCCUUGUUCUACCGGUGGGUGCGUGAUUGCCAAAACUUGCAUCUCGAAAAAUAUUCCCUUGUUCUACAAGUGGGCGCCUGAUUGCCGAAACUUGAGAUUUUGAAAAUUAUUCCCUUGUUCUCCAGGUGGGCGCCUGAUUGCUAAAACUUGAAAAUUGAAAAAUAUUCCCUUGUUCUACAGAUGAGCGCCUCAUUACAAAAACUUGGAAUUUUUGAAAAAUAUUCCCUUGUUCUACAGGUGGGCGCCUGAUUACCAAGACUUAAAAUUUGAAAAAUAUACCUUUGUUCUAUAGGUGGGCGCCUGAUUACCAAGAAUUGAAAUUUUAAAAAAUAUUCCUUUGUUCUACAGGUGGGCACCUGAUUACCAAGACUUGACUUUUGAAAAAUAUUCCCUUAUUCUCCAGGUGGGCGCCUGUUUGCCAAAGCCUGAAAUUUUGAAAAAUAUUCUCUUGUUCUACAAGUGAGCGCCUGAUUACAAAAACUUGGAAUUUUUGAAAACUAUUCCCUUGUUCUACAGGAAGGCGCCUUAUUACCCAGACUUAAAUUUUGAAAAAUCUUCCCUUGUUCUACAGGUGGGCGCCUGAUUACCAAGACUUGAAAUUUGAAAAAUAUUCCCUUAUUCUACAGGUGGGCGCCUGACUGCUAAGACUUGACUUUUGAAAAAUAUUCCCUUGUUCUCUAGGUGGGCGCCUGAUUACCAAGACUUGAAAUUUGAAAAAUAUUCCCUUGUUCUAUAGGUGGGCUACCAAGACUUGACUUUUAAAAAAUAUUCCCUUGUUCUCCAGGUGGGCGCCUGAUUGCCUAAGCAUGAAAUUUUGAAAAAUAUUCACUUGUUCUACAGGUGGGCGCCUGAUUACCAAAACUUGGAAUUUUUGAAAAAUAUUCCUUUGUUCUACAGGUGGGGGCCUGAUUGCCAAAGCCUGAAAUUUUGAAAAAUAUUCCCUUGUUCUACAGGUGGACGCGUGAUUACCAAAACUUGGAAUUUUUGAAAAAUAUUCCCUCGUUCUACAGGUGGGCGCUUGAUUACCAAACUUGCAUCUCGAAAAAUAUUCCGUAAGACUAUUUCCUGUGCACCUGACCACAACAAAACAAACGAAACACAAGAAAUUCUUCCUGCGCCAGUUUGGUACUGGGUGGAUAUGUGAGUGUUAAUCAAAUCCCUUUAUCAAAUAUCUCUAAACCUAAGCUAAGUCCCAUUAUCCAGGCGGGUCCUGAUAACUCUUAAUUAGAUGACAAGAUGCGAUUGCUGGGGGUUAGUAUCUAGAGUUACGUCCCAUUAUCCAGGGGGGUCCUGACAACUCUUGUUGACUCUUGCUGGGAAGUACCUAAUCUAAGUACACUUUUUUAGAAGGGCCCUGACAACUCUAACUGAAUCCUACUUCGACAAGUAAGUCAUUUUUUGUCAUUUGUUAUCCAUGAUUACUCCUAACCUUAAAAUGAGUCCCAUUCUCCACGAGGGUCCUGAAGGUUCCGACUUAAAGGCCAGUUCUAACUUCUGGUUGUUUCUUCUGGUGAUCAUUGUCCGGGAGGGUUUCUGCGACUCUUACUGGGGGAGGUGUUGGUGACUGCCCAUGUUACACGUACCUGUCUGAGCUCCAAACUGUGUUCCAUCUCAGCUUCCAUGCUUCUUUUAACUCUCAGUUGUUCCUAUUGGGGUUUGCUAGUUAACGUCUGUCCCUUUGUGCCCUUUGCUGAGGAGGGUGUUUAUGACGGACUAUGUCCCUUUUGAGUUUUAAUUGAGCCCCACUUCUAGGUGGGUCCUGAGAUUUUGAUCAUACCUGCUGUGUGCCUGCCUUCUCCUGUGGACGGCCUCCCUUAGGCUCUUCCAGAAUUUUCUACCCCUGUAUCAAUCAAAGAAAACUUGUCAGUUUGAAAAGUGGUGGUCGGCUCGCGGCAUUCUUGUUGAAGGCAGCCUCCCAAUUGUCGUGUUCCGUUGCGUUCCAUUGCCCGUAUUGAUGAUGAAUGGCUUGAACUGCCCAACCAACCCUUUGGGACCUCUAGGCUUUAUUUUGCCCCCCAUUAUUGUAUUACAUUUCUAAUCCUUUGACGACAUUCUUUAUGUCCUUCCCUGAUGAUUGAUGAGUUGAUAUAUCAUACUUUGGUCGACCCUCCGAACCUUGCGGCUUCAUUUUGUUCUUUAUCUCUGUGUUACAUUUCCACUCCUUUGCCAAAAUCCUUGCAUCCUUUCUUGAAAUCCCCUUGUUUGUCUAUGAUGUUGGUUGGCCUUUACCUUUUGUUCGUUUAUAUUGCUCUCUACUUCGUGUUGCACUUCCGACCCUUUACCCGAAUUAUUUUUUGCCUCUUCCGGAUGAUUGACGAGUUGAUAUAUCAUGCUGGGUCAACUCUCAUGGCCAUUUCCACCUUUGUGUUGCGCUUUUGCCUCUUUUGCCAGAAGCCUUAUACCCUUUUUUGACGAUUGCUGAGUUAGGGUGUUGCGCUUGGCUGAUCCUCGAUAUUUGUGGCUUUGUUUUAUUUCUCAUCUUGGUGUUACAUUUCCGAGCCAUUGCUAAAAUCUUUACCCUUUCUUGGGAUUACCUGGUCCAUUUAUGAUGCUUGACUGACCCUCGAUCUUUGUGGUUUUACUUUGCAUCCCCAUCUUGCGUGGUGUUUCUUUACUUUGCCCACUCUUGUCUCUUCCAUCAAUUACAGUUUUUUUGUGAAUCCUUCCCCUUGGUGUUCCACACUUGUUAUCUUUGUUACGCCUUUAGGCAUCAUGCGCUUUGUCCCUUUGGGAAUUGAUAAUCGGCUUUGAAAUUCCUCUUGUUCGCUUAAACAAAAGACUUUAGAGACUCAAAAGAAAAAUGAAAUGCAAUGACUCUGAACGGUACUUAGGGUAAAGAAUUCCAGAUUCACUGAUUGUUGAAAAGAAGAGAAAGACAACUUACUUGAAGAGGAACAACUGGUUUUCAUGAUCAUGACAUGCACUUUAGCUUAAUCGACCCAAUCUGUUUCGAUGACCGACCUUCUGUUGCCGCGCUUUUGAUGUUGUGACCUUUCUAACCCAAUUCUUUCAACAAAACCCUAGCUUGGCUUGCCUUACAGUGUUCAUCCACCAAUAGCCCCUUUCUGAGUUUUGCUUUUUGCCUUACAGUGCCUGUGAGGGUUUUCACCAAUGAGGCUCUCUCAUUUUUAUUUCUCUCAACUCUCUUCGCCUUAAGGUUCCCAUGAGGGUUUUUACUAGAUAAGACUCUCUCAUUUUAUUAUCUUUCCCGUUUGGGCCGGAGUACUGCCCUUGACAUGAAUCACCUCUACUUGCCCAACUUGGCAUCUUUUGAAGACUGAUCAGAAGGUCUUUCUUUGGACCGUAACGUGGGAUUUUGGAUAAGGUUAGAAAGAAAGGAUACCAAAGGCUCAAAGAAAUUCAAAUGGGUCAAGAGUUACAACUUUUGGAAUCAAAUUCUUACAACGACCACAACUUCUGCCCCAGUUUCGUGCUUGGGGAUUUUUGCAUUUUUAUUUUGAUGAGACCGAACCGUGAUGAUGCCUACGUAUCCUUUUAAAAGGAAUCAGGUCAAACGUAGUUCAUACCUAUUCCUUGUUUUUGUUGUUGUUUUUCUUCUCCCCUUUUGUGAUUUCCUUCUCUCUUUUUCUGUUUUGUUUUGUUUUCUUUCUUUCCUUUUCCUUUUCUCUUUUCUCUUUUUCUUUUCUUUUCUUGUUUUCCUAUUUUUUCCUUUUUCUUUUUCUUUCUUUUUCUUUUUCUUUCUUUUUCCUUUUCCAUUCUUUUCAUUUUUUCCUUUCCUUUCCUUUUAUUGCCUUCUCACACUUGCGCUUCCGACUUUUGUUACUGAUUCCGAAAGAGGGGUAUGAAAAGAAAUUACUGACGCUCAAAGAGGUUAGCAAAGGAUAGAGUAUUUAGAUAGCGAAUAAAAUGCCUUCGUCAUUCCAAUUUUAAAAAUAUGCUAAGUACAAACAAGUGUCGAGUAUAGACAAUGAUCUAAAAGAAAAUGAUACAUAAUAUCUUUUGUCAGCGUCCAAAUUGAUAGCCAUUUCCACACAUUUUCCUUCCACAUCUGUCAGAUACAAUGCUCCAUUGGACAACACUCUUUAUACGAUGAAUGGUCCUUGCCAGUUUGGAGCGAGCUUACCCUUUUCCUUGGCCAAGUGAGGAUGGAUGCGCUUUUAUACCAAUUGACCUACUUCGAAAUUUCUGGGGCACACUUUCUUACUAUAUGCCCUAGCCAUCCUUUGUUGAUACAACUGGCCGUGAUAGAACGCUGCAAAUCUUUUCUCGACAAUCAUACUCAAUUGCUCCAAACGAGCUUUAACCCAUUCUUUAUCAUCGAUUCCUGCUUCGGCCAUGAUUCAAAGAGAGGGGAUUUCAAUUUCAGCCGAGAUUACCACCUCUGUGCCAUACACCAACAAGUACGGAGUGGCCCUUACUGAAGUGUGGACAGUGCUGCGAUAGCCUAAUAAUGCGAAAGGCAGCUUCUCAUGCCUUUGCCUGUUCCCUUCCACCAUUUUACGAAGUAUCUUCUUUAUGUUCUUAUUGGCCGCCUCAAUGGCUCCAUUUCCCUUGGGGCGGUAUGGAGUAGAAUUUCAACGCGUGAUCUUAAAUUGCCGACACACUUUCCUCAUUAAGUGACUAUUGAGGUUUGCCCCAUUGUCCCUGAUGAGCGUCUUGGGGAUCCCGAAUCGACAAAUGAUGUUCUCAUGCACAAAGUCGGCCACGACCUUUUUGGUCACUGCCUUGAAAGUUUUGGCAUCAACCCAUCUGGUGAAAUAGUCAAUAGCAACCAAGAUAAAUCUGCGCCCGUUAGAAGCCGCUGGUUCAAUGGGCCCGAAGACGUCCAUGCCCCAAACAACGAAAGGCCAUGGCGCAGACAUCGUAUGCAACUCAGACGGUGGAGAGUGAAUUAAGUCUCCAUGCACCUGACAUUGGUGGCAUUUGCGCACAAAGCGGAUAGAGUCCCGCUCCAUGGUGAGCCAAUAAUAUCCUGCCCAGAGAAUCUUCUUUGCCAAAACAUAUCUGCUCUUGUGUGGCCCGCAGACGCCAGCAUGCACCUCAUUCAAAAUGGCUGUCGCAUGCCCAACAUCUACGCAUCUUAAAAAACCAAGAUCUGUUGUUCUUUACUGAAGAAAAACCCACUUGACAAACGACGGAUUGUUCUCUUCUGGUCACCCGUGGCUUGUGCCGGGUACACAUCUCUCCUGAUAUAUUCCUUGAUGUCGUGGAACCAAGGCUCGCUGUCACUCUCUUCUUCCACCAUGUUGCAAUAAGCAUGUUGAUCAUGGACCCGGAUAUGUAUCGGGUCAAUAUAAGCCUUGUUUGGAUGAUGUAAUAUUAACGCCAAAGUAGCCAGGGCAUCAGUGACCUCAUUGUGAAUUCUAGGGAUGUGCCUGAACUCUAUUGACCAGAAUCAUCGACAGAGAUCAUGCAAGCAUUGCCAGUAGUAUGAGUGUAAGCCUUGUCCGUAUGAUGUAACACUGACGCUAAAGUAACCAGGGCAUCGGCAACGUAAGCCUUGUCCGUAUGAUGUGCUUGAACUCUAUUGACCAAAAUCGUUGGCAGAGAUCAUGUAAGCAUUGCCGGUAAGGUAUGAGUUUUAAAUCUCUCGCUUCUAACUCCCGUUGAAUCUGGUGUACCAGAAGUUCUGAGUCUCCCAAGACCAAGACUUCUGGACACCCAUGUCUGCUUCUAAUCUCAAACCCAAAAUAGAUGCCUCAUCUUCUAUCAUGUUGUUGGUGUAAUAGAAGCGGAGUUGAGCUGUGACUAGGUAAUGAUGAGCUUCUUCAGAAAAGAGCACCGCUCCUAUCCCAACGCCUUUCAUGUUGGCGGCCCCAUCAAAAAAAAUUUCAAUCCCGAAUUCUCAUCUCAUUCUGAUUCAUCAAUAUGCAUUACUUCCUCGUCCGGGAAAUAUGUGUUCAAGGGCUCAUAUUUUUCAUCUAUAGGAUUCUCAGCUAAAUGGUCUGCCAGUGCUUGUGCUUUCAUGGCAGUCCUAGUCACGUAGAUAAUGUCAAACUCAGUGAGCAAGAUUUUNNNNNNNNNNNNNNNNNNNNNNNNNNNNNNNNNNNNNNNNNNNNNNNNNNNNNNNNNNNNNNNNNNNNNNNNNNNNNNNNNNNNNNNNNNNNNNNNNNACUUCAUGUGGGCAUGGGCUUCUGGAAAAUGUAUUUCAAUGGGUCCAGCCGUGAGAUGAGAUAUGUAGUAUAUGAUGACAAGUAAUGCUUUAACUUCUGGGCUACCAACGUCAAGGUGCAACAUGUCCUUUCAAGAUGAGUAUACUUAACUUCGUAAGCUGUGAAUUUCUUGCUGAGGUGGUAUAUAGCAUGCUCUUUUCUCCCGGUAACAUCGUGCAGACCCAACACGCAACCAAAUGAGUUGUCCAAGACUGUCAAGUAUAGGAUCAAAGGCCUUCAUGGUUCCGACGGGACCAAUACCGGUGGGUUCGACAAAUAUUCCUUUAUCCUAUAAAAAGCCUCUUGACACUCUCCCAUCCAUUUUACCACUGAAUCCUUUUUCAAUAGCUUAAAGAUGGGCUUGCAGAUGGUUGUGAGUUGAGCAAUGAACCGACUGAUGUAAUUCAAUCUUCCCAAUAGACUCAUCACUUCUAUUUUGUUCCUUGGCGACGGUAAUUCCUGUAUAGCUUUGAUCUUUGAUGGAUCUAGGUCCAUGCCCCGGCGGCUGACUAUGAACCCUAACAACUUUGCCGAGGGGACUUCAAAUGAGCAUUUCACCAGGUUGAGUUUGAGGUCAUACCUGCAGAUCCUUUGGAAGAAUUUCCUCAGGUCUUUGACAUGAUCAGAUUGCUUUCUAGACUUGAUUAUCACAUCAUCCACAUAGACCUCAAUUUCUUUUUGAAUCAUAUCGUGAAAAAUGGUUGUCAUGGCCCUCAUGUAUGUUUCCCCAGCGUUCUUAAAAUCAAAAGGCAUGACUCAAUAACAAUAUGUCCCCCACGGUGUAAUGAACGUUGUUUUCUACGCAUCUUCUUCAUCUAUUAAGAUUUGGUGGUAUCCUACAUAACAAUCCACGAAUGACUCGAUCUCAUGUUUCACACAAUUGUCGAUCAAUAUAUGGAUGUUUGGCACGGGGAAGUUGUCUUUUGGACUUGCUUUGUUGAGGUCACGGUAAUAAACACACACCCGGGCUUUACAUUCCUACUUUGGUACAUGCACAACAUUAGCUAACCAAGUGGGGUAUCAUGUGACUCAGAUGACUUUUGCCUCAAACUUCUUGGUCACUUCCUCUUUAAUUUUCACACUCAAAUCAGUUUUGAAUUUUCUCAACUUUUGCUUGACAGGCGAGCAUGCUGCUUGGUCACUUCCUCUUUAAUUUUUACACUCACAUCAGUUUUGAACUUUCUCAACUUUUGCUUGACAGGAGGGCAAGCUGGGUCAGUGGGUAACCUGUGGACCACCAAGUCAGUGCUCAACCGGGCAUGUCGUUGUAGGACAAUGCAAAGACAUCUUUGUACUCAUGCAACACUUCAAUUAUUCUUUCCUAAGUUGUGGCUCCAGAUGGACACUUAUUUUUGUUUCUAUGGCAUUAUCCGGACUUCCUAAAUUGAUUGCCUCUGUAUUAUUCAGGUUUGGUUUGGGUUUCUCUUCAAAUUAAGUCAAUUCUUUACUAAUCUCAUCACAUGCCCCUUCUCAUCAUACCUUGGUUCAUCCUCAUGUUCUAUUUCCUAAAUUAUUAUUUCUGAACUAGACUUGUUUUGAAGAUUGGGCCGAGGAGUCCUUAUGCAUGUCAGAUAACUGGAACCAGCGUAAAAAAUAACUGUACAAAAGAGAAAAGAAAGAAAAGUAAAGAGAAGUGGAAACUAUCAGCAUUGUUGAAAGGGAAGUUGCAUUUCAUUAGAAUCAAAGACAUCAGAGUUUACACAUCCAAACGGACGGAAAUAACAACUGAAUUAAAAACUCUUAUGCUAAUCCAAACUAGACUGGAAGGAAAAUCAAAGCCGACUACCACGACUCCCUCCGAGUGGGAGGAGGAGUGGCCUCCUAGUUAUUGAUAUUUGCCCAUGCUCCCACAAACUGCACAUCUGCCCUGCUUGAUCCUUCUCCUGUCUCGACCAUACUCACCUCAUUGAACAGUCUAUAUAACCCCUUAUAAAGAUCUCCGUCUGCGUCAAUCAGCGGGCCAAAAAUUUUAAGUCUGGGACCAUUGUUGGUGCUGGACUUGACAAAUGAUUUGGACAACUUUGGGAUGGGCUUUGAGAGGGCCCAAGCCUUCUGCCUUAACUUCCUGGCUCGCCUUAUAUCUACAGAUUUGGGCUUGAAACCUACGCCGAAAGUGUCUAGAUUUUUGGGGAGGGACACUGGUUGCACAAUGACUUCCAGAGAAGUCCCCAAGCCAUUGCCGGGCAUAAAAUAAUUUUUCAACAUUUCUGAAGCCACCAUGACGGACGCGGUUGCUAUCUUUGGGGUUGUGACAAUCUCACCUUCUGGGAUUUUUGGACUGACACAGUAUCAAACACCCGGUAGACCCAUGGCCCUUUGUUGUCCUCAGAUUCAAUGAAAGGUACGAUCGCAUCACCUGAAGUGCCCUGAUUGUCUUCACCAUGCACCACAAUUUCUUACCUGUCCCAUUCAAAUUUGACCAUCUGAUGCAGCGUAGAUGGCACUGCUUUGGCUGCAUGAAUCCAGAGCCUACCCAACAACAGGUUAUAAGAUAUUGCUACAUCCCGCACUUGGAAUUCCAUGGUGAACUCAACGGGCCCUAUUGUCACUUCCAGCACUACAUCCCCCACAGUGUCUUUGCCUCCGCCAUCGAAACCUCGAACACAGAUGUUAUUAUUGCAGACCUUUUCAUUUUCUACCUUUAGCCUGGUCAAUGUGGACAAUGGACAAAUAUUUGCACUGGACCCGUCGUCGACCAAAACUCGGGUAACCACAACAUCUUCACAUUUCACAGCCAGAUAAAGAGCCCGGUUGUGCUCAGUGCCCUCCAUGGGCAGUUCAUCGUCAGAGAAUGUGACCCGGUAUACCUCUAACAUCUUGUUUGCAAUCUUUUCCAAAUGAUUCACCGUUAUCUUGUCUUGGAUAUGGGCUUCAUUCAAAAUCUUCAUCAAUGCCCGGUGUUCAUCUGAAUGGAUUAGUAAGGAUAACAAAGAAAUAUGAGUUGGUAUCUUCCUCAACUGCUCUAUGAUGAAGUAGUCCUACAUUUUCAUUUUCUUCAAGAAUUCUUCCGCCUCUUCUUCUGACACAGCUUUCUUCACUGGUUCUGGGUUAUCUUUAGAGAUUCUGCCCUUUCUCAAUUCUUCCGGGGCGAAGUACCUUCCUGAUCGAGUUAAACCCCGUGCCUCACACACUUCAUCCUUAACUUCUUUUCCCUUGUACAUCACUAUUGCUCACUCAUAUCUCCAAGGAACAGCUUUGUUGUUGAUGAUUGGUGGUUGGCUCACUGGUUUUACAAUAACUGGCUCCAUGCGAACACCUUCCACAACCACGACAGGUUCUCUAGCUGCCCCAUGUACUGUUACUCUUGCAUGUUCCUGCUUUGGCGCAAUCACGCAUGCUGAUCUCUUUUGAACUAUGACAGAUUUUCUUCCUCUUUCUUUUGCCUCGGUUACUAGCUUCUCACUACUUGCACUCUCAAUUAGCUUAAACUUACUGGCUUUGAUCAUCAUUACCAUUUGUGGGGGCCUUUUGGACUCUCCCCUUUUUACUACAAUCUCAAUCGUUUUGGUUUCCUGAAGGGCCGGUAGCGGGUUUUGGUUAAUACUGGCACCUCUAGGGUCUGCACUUUGAUCCGGUGGGAGUCAAUAAGUUCCGGGAUGGCGUUCUUUAAAAACCAACACUUUUCGGUGUCAUGCCCUGGUGCACCGGAACAGUAUUCACAGCUGACUGAAUAAUCUAAAUUCUUUGUGGGAGGAUUUUGCAGUUUCGCUUCAAUUGGUCUCAACAUAUCCAGUUGUCGCAGCCUAUGGAAUAAGCUAGUGUAGGAUUCUCCCAGCGGAGUGAAAGUCUUCUUCUUUUGUACCCUUUCAUUUCUCAUGACCAGAUUGGCUCGGAAAGUAGGAUUCGGGGGUUGUUGGUAAGAUCUUGGAGGGGGGAAUAUGCUAGUGUAAGAUUCUCCCAGCAAAGUGAAAGUCUUUUUUUUCUGCACCCUUUCAUUUCUCAGGACUGGAUUGGCUCGGAAGGCGGGCUUUGGGGCUAUUGGUAGGCUCUUAUGGGUAAGCAAUGAUUUUGUGGUGUUGGGUAGGAACUUUAUGGGGGUGGUGCACACCAUUGUACGUGAGCGGGAGGAUGGGUAUAUGCUUACGCAUGAUGGACUGAGAAGUGGGGUUCUGGUGGUAGAUAGUAAUAUUGUGGUGGGCCGUAUGGAGUAUGCGGGUAUGUUUGGUAGUGAGGACGGGGCUGGAAGGAAGGAUAUGGCACCCGAGGUCUAAACCAAGUUCCCGACACCACUAUCGAUACUUCAUCCUUCUUCUUCUUUAUGAAUGUUCCCCCAACUCCACCCUGGAUGGCCUGAGUAGUUGCCUUAAUUGCAGAGUAGCUCAUGAUUUUAUUGGAUUUGAGACCUUCCUCAACCAUACUUCCAUCUUGACUACUUCGUUGAAAGAUUUUUCCACUGCUGACACCAAAUGUCCAAAAUAGGUAGGCUUCAAAGCUUGUAGAAAAUAAUACUUCAUUGAAAGACUUCCCCACUUCUAACACGAAAUGCCCAAAAUAGGUAGGUUCCAAAGCCUGUAGAAAAUAAUCAACCAUCUCGCUCUUCUUCAUGGAAGGAUCAACUCUAGCAGCUUGUUCCCUCCACCAGAAACCGUACUACCUGAAACUCUCGUUGUGUUUAUUCUCCAGCUUUGUCAGAGAUAGAUGAUCCGGGACAAUCUCGAGAUUAUAUUGAAAGUGGCAGGCAAACGCUUGUGCCAUGUCAUCCGAAGUAUACCACCGAUUGUGAUGUUGCCGAGAUUAUACCACUCAAGCGCCAACCCACUUAAACUCUGGCUAAAGUACGCCAUUAGCAAUUCAUCGUUUCCCCCCUGCUCCCCUGAUCUUGCUGGAAAACUCCCUUAGAUGCGCGACCGGAUCGCCAUGCCCAUUAUAUAAAUCAAAUUUAGGCAUCUUUAAACCUGGAGGUAACUGCACGUCUAGAAAUAGACAAAGGUACUUGAACGCCAAGCUCACCUUUCCACCUAAUCCCAACAUGCCCUUGAAUGAUUGUUCUACACUCUGAACUUUUCUAAGCAUCUCUUCCUGCUCAGGAUUUUUGAUUGGUUUUUCAACUCCCACCAGGAUUUCGGGACGGGGAGAAUAAGAAUAAGGCUCAAGGGUCUAGUAAGCAGGUUCUAGUGGAUAGCAUUGAGGGUCAUAAGUUUGAAGCAGGGGUUCACUUGACGACCUAUGGAGUGUAGGAGGCGGAGGUACCACACAAAUAGGGGCAAUUGGCGAAGGAGGGUGAGGAGUGACUUUGGGUAGUGGAGCUGGUGGUGGUUGAGAGGUCGUACCCUGCUAUUGUGAAUAUAUAGGAAAACUUGAGGGUGGAUCAGUGGUGGACUGGUCAGGUUCUUGGGCCAGUGGCGGGAUAAAGGUUGGAUUAACAGGAUAGGUCAGGGGUGGCUGUCCUCUUGCCCAUUCUUGGUACGUCUCAACCAUUUGGUGCUUUAGCUUAUACAUUUCCUCCUUCAUAGCAUUAACGUCCAAUUCCUCCGCUUCCUUGAGGGGUCAAUAAUGCUGACAUUGGCUUCCUGAUUGGCCAUGACUUUCUUGCUUUUAGACCGCGUCUUGUAGGAGUGGGUUGCCAGAAUGCUGCGAGUACUAAUCACCUAUCUAGUUUGAAAUUGGAAUUGCACCAAAAACUCAUUAACAGUUAGGUUCUAGCACAUAAACGGCCAUAUAUUAGGUAUGAAUGCACCUAAUUGAAAGUCGAUCACUACAUGCAUUGGUUGCUUGCGUCAUCCCAUCUUUUACUUCUUUAUUUCCGAAGCCCCUUUGUUUUAGCCUUAUUAUCCCCCUCUUUCAUUCACUUUCUCUCUAAUUUUAUUCAAUUAUGGUCGAAUCCUAUGUAUAUUUCCUACGUAUCAUGACCCCGCAUGAAUCAGACCGAGCGUAGUUCUUGCGAAUAAAACAAACGAACCAUAAAAUAUUUCAAAAAUUCCAUUCUUACAAUAACAAACUUCAGUUACAAUGACUCAAAAAACUGACAAAUUAAACAAGAAACUAACAAGCUUUGAUAAAAAGUGAACUACAAACUCGAAAAAAAAUUAACUAUGCAUAAAAGAAAACUACAGACUCCCUGUUAACCAAUAUAUUUUGACAAAAGCAAGCGUAAUCUUUAUGAAUACAUUAAUGCUUCAAAUGCUCCUGGGCCUCGAGGGGUAUCAUUCGGCCUUGCCGCAGGCUUGCCUGCUAAGCUCCCUUAUAGGUGGUGGAGGUCCUUCAUCACUUGCUGAACAAAGGUCAUGGCGGUGGCGAAGAACAUGGAUCUUGUCAUAUCGUUGCAAUGGUUGCAAUUUGUGGUGAUGUAGUCUGCGAUCGCCGUACUCUUUCCUUAAUAACACCCUUUUCUUGCAACAAUCACCCAAUUUGCUUAGCCCCUGCCUCUAAAGUCGCUCGGUCGCCUGAUUCAGUUACUGGAAUUUCCGAAAAUCCAUCUCCAACCUUGUUAUAGCUGCAUAACAUUAUUCUCUUUCGGCUUUGAGGUCCCCUACUUGCUUGGCCACUCUGUUCUCAGCCAUGAUGACCCUCUAUUUUAACCUAGCAACCUCAUCGUCAUGCUUUUCCUUUAAUUGCUCAAUGAUGCGGGCUCGUUCCUCCACACUUUUAGCUAACUAUUUUCGAACUCUGGAUAGUUCGCCUUCUGCCUUGUUCAAGUCAAACCAAUAAUCAGUUACUUUUCGCCUCAAAUUGUCUAUGAGUUUUUCAUCCUUCGCACUCCUGGGGGGAUUUUCCGUGGCUGCUUUCAUUUUCUAUAUUUGGGCUCGCAACGCCUCGUUUUCUUUGGUUAAUCUUUUCUUUUCUCCCUCAUCUGUUGCGGCUUGCAAACCGUUUUAAAAUUGAAGCUCUUUCACCUGUUUUUCUAAUAUUCCUAUGGAGGCCCUGUAUUCAUUUUCCUUGACUAGCCAAUCCCAUUGCUCUUGUGAUGUUUCAACAAAUUCCUGGAGAUGCGGUCUUUUAGCUGGCCUCCCAGGCUCUAUAUUUUUUUUAUACCACGCAGUGUAUCCCGGUGUAGCACCGCCUUUAGAUAUGUCACGUACUCGGGUAACUGGUGUUAUGUAUUGACAUUCGUUCCAGAUUUGACGCACGACGGCUUCAGGGAAUUGACCUUUGUGGCUAAUCUCAACCGCAUGGCGGCUAAUAUCCUCGUCCUGGGAAUUAUUUGGCACCUACCUAAUUGCCUUAGUACCCUGUAUGGAGCAUAAGGUUGGAUACUUCGGAGACCCAUCAGAAGGAAAUGAGGCCCGGUGGCUGGCAUAUACACGAUUUCAUCCACGAGAAGCCACCCGAAAGUCCACUCUAUCUGAUUUGCAGUGACAACCGGGAGAUGUGAUACCCACUCCGUGACACCCUCAGGUAACAUAAACCCAUCAACCCUGUAGUAGAAUUCUUCUAUGCAGCUCUUUGUUGGUGACCCAUAAUUCAUGAACCGAGGACGGUGGCAUAAGUGCUCGAUCAUACAUAUUUAUAACAAUAGGUUACAUCCUUCAAAGAAGUCUCCUCCCGCUUUACAAGCGGUGAGAGCACGGAAGAUCUCGGAUAAGAUCAUAGGAGCGAGGGUGCUCUUGGCCUGAGUUAUUAAAGCGCUGAUAACCCCUGCUAUCCGUAUAUCAAUAUUUCCACCCUUCUGCGGAAACACCAAAAGACCCAAGAAGAAUACCAUGUAUGUAAAACAUCGGUGCUCCUCAAAUUUGAGUUGGCUUCCUUUUCCACAAAUAUGGUUUUCCGGGUUAUUGAAUCCCCCUAUGUGCCUGUAUCUCUAAUAUAUAAAUUGUGCGUAUAGAAGUCGGCUGACAGGUUUGGGUUGUGAACCUUCCUACUGAUUUUUAAGGAGUCCAGGAACUUGUGCACGGCGAGGGAUCUUAGCGCAAUCAGGUAUUGGUGCCUCAGGAGAAUCGUAGGGGUCCCAAUAUAUCCAGUUAUUUCUUCCAAUGCCAGUGUGAGUUCAAAAUCCGAGAAAGGGAAUACAUUGUGAGUCGAAUCCUAGAAUUGGAUAUUUUUUGGCUAUUUUUGCAAAAGGGAGGUUGGACCCGAUGGGGGUUGCCUACGUAUCUCGUACCUGAGGAGAAUCAAACCGGCGUAGUUCGGGCAAAAAAAUUUAUGAAAACCAAAACUCUGAGAAAAAGCCCCCUUUUCUUUUGUUUUGUUGUUUUUUCUUUGAAAAAUCCGGUAGCAUUUCGGCGCUAUUUGAGCAUCCGUUUACAAGACAAAUGAUUCCUCUCAGCCAGCCUAGUACCACUUGUUUUAUCAAUUUCCUUUCCUUAUUCGCAAGCCGGUCAAUAUGCAAAUCCAAAGCAACUAAAUGCAGAGGUAACACGUAAUAUGCAUCAAGAUGGUCUUUUCAUUUCGGGUCACCUGUCCUAGACGGACCCAACCCAUGUGUUGAGUCCCCUAUAUUCAUAAGCCGAUCAACAUGCGAAUCCAAAGCAAAUGAAUGCAUAAGUAACACAUAAUAUGUAUCAUGAUGGUCUUUUGUUUCAGGUCACCUGUCCUAGACGGACCAAACCCCCGUGUUAAGUCCCCUAAGUCAAAUUCAUGAAGCAAAUAAACGUCCCUACUAGGGAUCCGGCAUGAGGUUUUGUUAUACAAAUUUCAGAACCUCUGUAUAGGGUCUAAACUAUGUACCCGAGCGGACAACUCGAGUCGAGGAGGGGGCUGCGUACCGGGAACCAAAAGGCCAUCCGGCUUAGUAACUUGUCCAACCUCUUUCUUAUUUCAGGGUAUGAUACUAGCAGAAUAAGGAGUCUCAACCAGUAAGCACAUCCUCAUAGGUGAGGAGAGAAGGGUUUCGUAGCAGUUAAUAUGUGCAGUUCAGAUAAUAUCAAAGCAGUAAAAGCAUCAGUUUGCACAUUAAGCCAAAUGUAAAAUAAUAUAAUAAACAAAUCCAAAUACAACAAUUAUUCUAAGCUCGAAGUCUUGGACCCUGAACUAGAGAUUCUGGGUUCGGUCCCCAGCAGAGGCGCCAGAGCUGUAACACCUCCUCUUCGCCACUACAACCCUGCGAAAAGCAUAGAUAAGGGAUUUUUUCCAAUUAAAGGACAAUCGAAACGGGGUUCAAUUAUUUAAGAGAUUAGAGGCGAUGGACGGUUGAGAUCAAACGACGUCAGACAACGUCGUUGUGGGCGCCUGGGUUUUUUGGACCGGGCAAGGGGUUGGGUUUGGGUCUGUUUGAGUGGGUUUUGGCUACUUGGGCUGGAAAAUAUGGCCCAAAUCAAGGGUCCUCAAUAAGAGCCCCAAUAUAUGUACAUAUUUUCUCUUUUUGUAUUUUUUAUUUAUUUUCAUAUUCAAAUAUAAAAAUAGAAAUAAACCAAAAUAGAUUUAUCUUCUACAAAAUAAACUAAUUAACCUCUAAAAUAACCUACAUUAUAAAUUUAAAGGAAAAUAAACAAAUGUACGAAUAACAAUGUUUUGCUAUUUUUCUUUCUUUAUUCUCAAUAUUAACUAAUAAACCCUAAAAAAUAAAGAUUAAGUCCUAAAUGCAAAUAUGUCAUUUUUGUAUUUUUAUGAAUUAUGCAAAUUAAAACAUGCGACAUUCAAAUAAACACAAGAUUAUGCAAUUAAUUCCUAGAAUUCAAACAAACCCAAAAUCACGCAAAUAAAUACUAAAAAUUCAAAUAACAAAAGAAAGACGUAAGUAAACACGAAAUCACACAAUUAAUUCCCAAAAUUCAAAAAAAAAUCACACAAUUAAUUCCUAAUAAUUAAAAUAAUAAAAGAAAAAUCCUAAUAGUGAAUUUUAUAGGAACAUGUCAAGCGAAGAAAAAAUCACGUGCUCACAUCGAUAUUAUUCUAAAUGGGAUUAAUUAUUCGAUUAUCAGAGUCGCCACUUGGGAUAGUUUGUUUUGGUGUCCCAAGUCACCGGUUUAUUUUAAAUCCCAAAUCGAGGAAUAUUCAACUUUACUUUUGAAGUAGCGAACCAGAAAUUCUGUUAACCCGAGGAAAGGUGUUAGACACCUCCAGAUUCAGUGGUUCUAGCAUGGUCGCUUGAACAAGCAUAAUUGCCCGAUUAUCUGAUUUUAAUACAUGUAUUAAACCUAUGGUGAAAUUUUUAACUUAUUAACCGCUUUCAAAUUAUUUUUUAGGAAAGAUUCAUCGUUAUUUAAAAUAUGCCUUGAACCAUGCCACAUAAAAUACACCCGCGAUCCACGACACAUUUUAUUUAAUAUUGUUGAGAAUUGAAGUUGGGUCACAUGAAAUGCACACCCGAAUUUAAAGAAAUUAGUUUAAAUAGCGCACCUAAAACAACUACGCAUUUUCAAAUAUGCGAGGACCAUAAAAAAUUCUACUAAUAGUGCAACUUAAUUUUAAAAAAGUUCAUAUUAAUUAUCCGAGGGUCAUGAGAAAUUAUUUCAUCUAUGGAUUCAUAUUGUUGGCUACUUCCAAUUAGUCACCUUACUUCUGAACGCUAAGUACUAUAGGACACGGUCAAGUAUUCUUUUUUUUUUAAGAAUCUAGACCCGGUAAACUCAUUCAGAUAUAGUCAACAUGAAUCCAAAUGCAACAAUUAGUUUAUCAACCACUUCAAAUCCAUUAACAUUACAAAGUCUUUACAAUAACUAAAAGCCUUUUGUAUAUAUUGGGCGAGCGACAUAAAUUAAGGGAUAAAAAUUACAUUUUUCUUUUCCAAACUGCAUAGAAAACAUCACUAUAAGAUAAACCAUUACAAAUGCAACAUUGUUAUACUUUUUUGUUAAUCAUCAGAUCAACAAUACUUAUUGCCCCUUCAUGGUUCAUGAAACAACUACUGUCUUUCCCGCUUCAGGCUGCACGAUGGGCAUGUAUAUUGUUUUAUAUUCUCAACUUUAGCAAGAGUUGUCUUUAACACAUUUUGUGACGACCCAAAGGGUCAUCACCUGUUUUUAAUCAAAUUAUGUUCUUUCGAAAUUUUGAGAAUCUCAUUUAGAGUUGCCUCAAUUUUCAUGCGUAGUCCGAGCACGUAGCCGGAAAGUUUAAAUAUGAAAUUCUGUGAAAAAUACUAAGUUUUCUUGCUAAAAUGAAUAAAUUUGACUUCGGUCAAUAUUUUGGGUAAACGGAUCCGGACCUGUAAUUCGACGGUUCCGGAGGGUCCGUAGGAAAAUAUGGGUCUUGGGCGUGUGCCCAGAAUCAAAUUCCGAGGUUCUAAGCCCGAGAAAUAAAUUUUUAAGUGAAAUUGUUUCCUGAAAUUAUUUAAGGAAAUUUGAAAUGAAAUCUGAUUAGAAAGCAAUGGCAUCGGGCCCGUAUUUUGGUUCGGGUGUCCGGUAUAGGCCUUACGUAUGACUUGAGUCAUUCAUGUGAAAUUCGGUUAAAACGGAUGUCGUUUGACGUGAUCCAGACCUUAAUUUGGAAAUUUUGAUGUUUAAAGGAGUUUUGAGAAAUUUCAGUGAUCUUGAGGUUUAAUUCGAUGUUCGUGAUGUCAUUUUGGUGAUUUGAUUACACGAAUAUGUUCGUAGAAUAUUUUUGAAGUUGUGUAUAUAUUUGGGUAGGAGUUUUGAGGGCUCAAGUGAGUUUCGGGUAGGUUUUGGGAUGCCUUAGGCUUAGAAAUCAGAUGUUGCAGGUUCAUGAAGUUGCAGGCCUCUGAAUCCACUUGUGUUGUCCGCGAGAAAUUGCGUGUGACCGCGGAGGGGCCAGCGCGACCGUGGUCACCUUUGUGCGGUGCGCGAUGGAGGCUUUGCGGCCGCAGUCGCCUUUGUGCGGUCCGCACAGGGUGCUGAACUACAGGUCUCCGGGAAAGCCUAUAUGGCUGCGGUCCAUUUAGUGCGGUGCACACAAGGGUCUGCCAGAGGUAUAAAUAGAUGGGAUUUUCAGUUAUUUUUUAUUUUUCAAAACCCUAAAAACAUAAGAGGUUAUUUUUCAAGCAGCCUUUCUUCUCCAACCCAAUUUUAAGUCAUUUUUAACUAGUUUUCUUCAAUCAUUAACAUCUUUUAACAUGAUUUCGACUUAACAUCAAAGAGGGGAAAUUGAGUGUUUUGGGUAAAACCUAGGUUUUUAAAAAAUUGGGGAUUUGGACAUUAAUUUGAGGUCCAAUUUCAAAACAAAUUACAUAUUUGAAUUAGUGGGGGAAUGGAUAAUCGCAUUUUGGUUCGAACCCCGAGUUUUGACCACGUGGGCUCGGGGGCGAUUUUUGACUUUUGGGUAAAACUUUGGAAAACUCAUUUUCAUGCAUUGGGGUUGAUUUAUUUAGCGUUUAUUGAUGUAAUUAAGUAAUUUGUGAUCAGAUACGAGCGAAUUAGCAGUGGAAUCAAGGGGUAAAGCUAUAAUUGAAGCUUGAGUCGAUGUUCGAGACAUCGAGGUAAGUGUUCGAUUUUGUGAUUAGAUACAAACAAUUUGGCAGUGAAAUCAAGGGGCAAAGCUAUAAUUGAGACUUGAAUAGUGUUCAAGGCAUUGAGGUAAGUGUUCAGUCUACCCUAGCUUGAGGGAUUAGGAGUUGAGUCAUAUUUGCUAUCUUGCUCCAUGUUGAGUACGACGUAUAGGCAUGGUGACGAGUAUCUAUACAUUGGUGUCAAGUAUGACUGUUAGUUUUAAAUUGAAAGUUGUUGUGUUCUUAAAGGACAUUUCGGAUGCCUUAACUAAUGAUCUACCAUAUCGAGCAAAGAUUUAUUCAUCCUCGUAGAUCCUAUUAUGAUUGAGCAUUUUCAUUAAUCGAGCUGAGUAUAAGCUAAGUUGAGGUUGGUUAUAGCUGAUUCUCCCAUGUCGGGAUGUUUGUUUUGGUAUUGUUGUUCCCUUGCCAAAAAAUUAUUAUAUUGCUUUUGUUCCCUUGUCGGGAAGUUAUUAAAUUUCUUUGUUCCCUUGCCCGAAUAUCUUGUAAUUAUGUGGUGAUAAUGAAAUGGGAGCGGGCGGUAUGCCUACCACGAUAUAUAGUGAAAUAGGAGUGGGUGGUAGCCUACAACGGGAUAUAAUGAAAUAGGAGCAGGUGGUACACCUACCAUGAGAUAUAAUGAAAUGGGAGCGGGUGGUACGCCUACCACGAGUUAUAAUAAAAUGAGAGCGGGUGGUACGCCUACCACGAGAUAUAAUAAAAUGAGAGGGAGUGGUACGCCUACCAUGAGAUAUAAUAAAAUGGGAGUGGAUAGUACGCUACCAUGAGAUAUAAUGACAUGGGAGCAGGUGGUACGCCUACCACGAGAUAUGAUGAAAUGGUAGCGGGUUAUACGCCUACCACGAGAUAUGAUGAAAUGGGAGCGAGUGGUACGCUUACGACGAGAUAUGAGAACUGGGAUCGGAUUGCACGCCUGCAACAAGAUGAAAUUGAAAGUGAAAGUUGCCUUUAUUUCUCUUUAUCCAUAUUAGAAGUUAAAUUAUAGUUUCCUUAUUAUUCUUUGAUAUUAUGUUUAUCUGCCACCUCCACAACAUGUUCCCUUUCCGCAGCUUUAAUUGUUUAUUAUCUGUUUACUUUUCCACCAUAUAUUAUAUAACUGCAUAGGUUUAUCUGGAGUCUGGUCCUAGCCUCGUCACUACCUCGCCGGGGUUAGGCCAGACACUUACCAGCACAUGGGUUCGGUUGUGCUGAUGCUACACUCUGCACUUAUGUUCAGAUACUAGAGCAGUGUUUUGGCAGCGGUAUUAGUUCGGGAGCUAACCUUGAGUCCACCAAGACUCCGAGGUAGCCUUGCAGGCGUCCGCAGGCCCAACUCUCCUCUAUCUUAUAUUUCAUUUUGUUAUAUCAUGUAUUCGAGACAAACAAUGUUUAUUUCUUUCAAACGAUUGCAUUUAGUACUCUUAGCAGUCUGUGGAUGUUGUGACAUGCACACUCUGGGCACGUAGCCGGAAAGUUUAAAUAUGAAGUUCUGUAAAAAGUGCUAAGUUUGGAUGAUAAAAUGAAUAAAUUUGACUUUGAUCAAUAUUUUGGGUAAACGAACCCGGACCCAUGAUUCGACAGUCCGGGGGGUCCUAGGAAAAUAUGAGACUUAGGCGUAUGCCCGGAAUUGAAUUCCGAGGUCCCAAGCCCGAGAAAUGAAUUUUUAGUGAAAUUGUUUAAGUAAAUUUGAAAUGAAAACUUAUUACAAAGCGAUGGAAUCGGUCCUGUAUUAUGGUUUCGACGCCUGGUACAGGCCUUAUAUAUGACUUGAGUCAUUCCUGUGAAAUUUGGUUUGAAACGGACCACGUUCGAUGUAAUCCGGACCUUCAUUGGGGAAAUUUGAUGUUUAAAGGAGUUUUGAGAAAUUUCAGUGAACUUGAGGUUUAAUUCAAUGUUCGUGAUGUCAAUUUGGUGAUCUGAUUACACAAAUAUUUUCGUAGAAUGUUUUUGAAGUUGUAUGUAUAUUUGGGUUGGAGUUUCGAGGGCUCGGGUGAGUUUCGGGUAGGUUCUGGGAUGCCUUAGGCUUAGAAAUCAGAUAUUGCAGGUUCAAGAUUUGCAGGCCUCUGAACCUACUUGUGCGUCCGCGAGAAAUCGCAUGCAAUCGCGGAGGGGCAAAUGCAACCAUGCUCACCUUUGUACAGUGCACGUUGGAGGCUAUGCAGCCGCAUUCGCCUUUGUGCAGUCCGCACAGGGUGCUGAACUGUAGGUCUUCAGGUAAGCCUGUACGUCCAUGGUCCAUUUAGUGCGGUUCGCACAGGGGGUCUACCAGAGGUAUAAAUAGACGGGAUUUUAAGUUAUUAUUCAUUUUUCAAAACCCUAAAAACAUAAGAGCGAUUUUUCAAAGCAAACUUUCUUCUCCAAAUCAAUUGUAAGUCGUUUUAACUAGUUUUCUUCAAUCAUUAACAUCUUUUAACAUGAUUUAACUUAAAAUAAAGGUUUUUCAUGGGGAAAUUGGGUGUUUGGGUAGAACUUAGAUUUUUCAAAAAUUGAGGAUUUGAACCUCAAUUUGGGGUUCGAUUUCAAAACAAAUUGCAUAUUAAAUUUUCAUGGGGUACAUUGGGUGUUUUGGGUAGAACCUAGGUUUCCCAAAAAUUGGGGAUUUUGACCUCAAUUUGAGGUCUGAUUUCAAAAACAAAUUACAUAUUUUGACUUUUGGGUAAAACUUUGGAAAACUCAUUUUCAUGUAUUGGGGUGGAUUCAUUUAGCGUUUAUUGAAGUAAAUAAGUUAUAUAUGAUUAGAUACGAACGAACUGGCGGUGGAAUCAAGGAACAAACCCAUAAUUGAGACUUGAGUAGUGUUCAAGGCAUUGAGGUAAGUGUUCGGUCUAACCUUAGCUUGAGGAAUUAGGAGUUGAGUCAUAUUUUCUACUUGCUCCUUGUUGUGUAUGACGUAUAGGCAUGGUGAAUACGUCGGCGUCAAGCAUGACCGUGAGUCUUAAAUUGAAAGUUGUUGUGUUCAUAAAUGACAUUUCGGAUGCCUUAACUAAUGAUCUACCAUAUCGCGCAAAGAUUUGUUUAUCCUCGUAGAUUCUAUUUAUGAUUGAGCAUUUUCAUUAAUUGAGCUGAAUGCAAGCUAAGUUAAGAUUGGUUAUAGCUGAUUCUCCCUUGCCAGGAUGAUUGUUUUGAUAUUAUUGUUCCCUUGCCGGAAAAUUAUUAUAUUGCUUUUGUUCCUUUAUCGAGAAGUUAUUAAAUUUCUUUGUUCCCCACCCGGGAUUUCUUGUAAUUAUGUGGCGAUAAUAAAAUGGGAGUGGGUGGUACGCCUACCACGAGAUAUAAUAAAAUAGGAGCGGGUGGUAUGCCUACCACGAGAUAUAAUAAAAUGAGAGCGGGUGGUACGCCUACCACAAGAUAUAAUUAAAUGGGAGAGGGUGGUACGUCCACCACGAGAUAUAAUAAAAUGGGAGUGGGUGGUACGUCUAUUACGAGAUAUAAUAAAAUGGGAGCUACGCCUACCAGGAGAUAUGAUGAAAUGGGAGCGGGUGGUAUGCCUACCACGAGAUAUAAUAAAAUGGGAGCGGUGGUAUGCCUGCUACAAGAUGAAAUUGUAAGUGAAAGUUGCCUUUGUUUUUCUUUAUCCAUGUUAGAAGUUAAAUUACAGUUUCCUUAUUGUUCUUUGAUAUUCUGUUUAUCUGACACCCCCGCAGCAGGUUCCCCUUCCCCAGCUUGAAUUUCUUGUUACUUGUUUACUUUUCCGCCAUGUAUUAUAUAACUACAUAGGUUUAUCUGGAGUCUGAUCCUAGCCUCGUCACUACCUCGCCAAGGUUAGGCCAGACACUUACCAGCACAAGGGGUCGGUUGUGCUGAUGAUACACUCUACACUAAUGUGCAGAUACCGGACCAACGUUUGGGCACCAGUAUUAGUUUGGGAGCUAGCCUUCAAUCCACCGAGACUCCAAGGUAGCCUUGCAGGCAUCCGCAGGACUGGCAUCUCCUAUAUCUUAUAUUUCAUACUGUUAUCUUAUGUAUUCAAGACAAACAGUAUUUAUUUCUUUCAAAUGGUUGUAUUUAGUACUCUUAGUAGUUCGUGGAUGUUGUGACACCAAGUGCUGGGUAGAGACUUGUAUUGGUUUUUUAGACAUUUACUUCUAUAUUCAUUUAAGACUUCCGCUAAUCUUACUUUUCGCUAUUCUUAAAAUAUUUAUUCAUUACUAAUAUAAUUGGUUUAAAAUAAACUAAAACAAAAUGGGGUAAUGACUUCCAAGAUUCAUAGCUUGCACGAGUAGGCGCCAUUACGAUUCACAAGGAUAGAAACUCCGGGACGUGACACAUUUCUUUUAGCAACUUAAUAUCCAUUUGUAUUAAAUGAAUAACAAACAACAAGAAGGACCCAAUUUAUAGACUUUUUAAGCUACCUAUAAAACAAACAGAACAGUCAUCCAUACAUCAAAAUAUGCAAAUCAAGAGACCAUGGACACAAAUAAAGCACUUAACAAAGAAUAUAUAAGAUCACUUGUAAUGUUGAAACAAUAAGGAAAAAGAAAACGAACCUUUAUUAGCUUUCAAAAUAUAUAAAGAAAAGCACGCCGAAGAAGCUGAAAACGAACAAACCCGCUAACAGGAGACCACGUCGGAACAUCGAAACUCGCAAGAAAAGCGUGUCGGAAAACUUCGACUCGAAACCAACCGAAAAUGUUGUGUUUUAGGUGCAACGGGAUUCCUCUAAGAUGUGGUUUAAUGUAGUUCUUUGGCUGGUUUUUUAGGUCAUUUUUGGGUGUGUUUGGGGUUAUGGUCGCUGCUAGUUUUCAGCUGGAGUCCAAGUGGAUAAAAGUAAACUCACAUGGCUAAAAAUGGAGAAUGAAGAUAACUGGUUUAAGGGACUUUUCUAUGGUUUUGUACGGCUGCUUCAACUCCUCUAUCUAAGGGUCUCUAAUGGUGAUGAAGAAGAAGAAAAAGCCUGGGGGAGGGGAUCUGAGAUCUGUGUCAAAAUGGUGCUGAUUUGCUUUUCUUCUUCGAUGCCUUUUCAGAUUUUUUAGGCGUUUUUCUUCUUGUUUUCUUCUUCUGUGUGUGCAUGUGUUGUAUAGAAAGAGAUCUCUAAUUUUUGCCCUCAUUCCCCUCUCUAAAUUUUUCUUCUUCCA